GCUGGGGACCUCUUAAGAUGAGAGACUUCUGAACCGGGUCAGGAUCGGAAGGUAGCAGCCCUAAGGAUAGGCCUUUUGUGCUAGGAGUUUUCUCUGGCUUAC
rfam:Chlamydia trachomatis D/TW-3/CX, complete genome.